UCUUCGGGGAAGGUGAAAUUCCUUACCGGCGGUUAUAGUCCGCGACCUGUAUUCCUUAGGAAUAUGGCUGAUUUGGUGAAAUUCCAAAACCGACAGUAAAGUCUGGAUGGGAGAAGAA
rnacentral:ncRNA from 1 species